rnacentral:rRNA from 1 species
UACGUAGGUGGCAAGCGUUGUCCGGAAUUACUGGGCGUAAAGGAUGCGUAGGCGGAUACUUAAGUCAGAUGUGAAAAUCCCGGGCUUAACUUGGGAACUGCAUUUGAAACUGGGUAUCUAGAGUGCGGGAGAGGAAAGUGGAAUUCCUAGUGUAGCGGUGAAAUGCGUAGAGAUUAGGAAGAACACCAGUGGCGAAGGCGACUUUCUGGACCGUAACUGACGCUGAGGCAUGAAAGCGUGGGGAGCAAACAGG